GAUGAAGAACGUAGCGAAAUGCGAUACUUGGUGUGAAUUGCAGAAUCCCGUGAACCAUCGAGUCUUUGAACGCAAGUUGCGCCCGAAGCCAUUAGGCCGAGGGCACGCCUGCCUGGGCGUCACACGUCGUUGCCCCCCCAUCUAAUCCUUCGGGAUUGCGGGGGGCGGAUGAUGGCCUCCCGUGCGCCUCGUCGCGCGGUUGGCAUAAAUGCCAAGUCCUCGGCGACGCACGCCACGACAAUCGGUGGUUGCGAAACCUCGGUUGCCCGUUGUGUGCGGUCGUCGGGCAUCGAGGGCUCGAAAAAAUUGCCGGGCUCCGGCUCGACUUUCAACGCGACCCCAGGUCAGGCGGGGUUACCCGCUGAAUUUAAGCAUAUCAAUAAGCGGAGGA
rnacentral:misc_RNA from 1 species